GGCACAAACUUGGAGUAUAGUAGAGUAGUAUGGUUAGCUAAUCCUACUAAUCUACUCUACUUCAAAGUUGGGCCC
rfam:Haemonchus placei strain MHpl1 genome assembly, scaffold: HPLM_scaffold0000571